CACCGCUGACGAGUCCUAAACAGGACGAAACAGCUGUCCAGUGG
rnacentral:hammerhead_ribozyme from 1 species